CACUGGUGCCCGGAGCGAUAAGAUCGAUCAGUCGCUGCAGAAGUAUGAUCACCCACGCUGCCGUUGGCACAUAUUAUUUGGUACGAAGUCAGAACUACACAACUUAUAUCAUGCACGCACAGCAAGUGAUUUUGAAGAUACUUGGACGGCCCUAGUCAAUGAGUAUGGUCUUCAAGAGGAGAAUGCAUAUCUCCAAAAGGCGCAGAUGUUAAUAGACGAUGAAACGAAGCCCAAUGAUUCACAGGAGAUAGAUACAGACCGUAAAGAUGUCAAGAGGGAGGUGGAGGCUCCUAAGUUGAUCAUUUCUCGUCAUAGUGAUGAUAAAUUCUCAUCCUAGUGAUGAGAAAUGUGACUCGCCCACCGUCUGAAUAGCAAACAUGAGGCAACAUGCAAGUACCAGCCGAAAAUCAACUCUCUGAUGGUGUGAUAUGGUUGCCAGCCAUCGGUCAAAUAAGCAGCCAUUCGGUGUUUUUACAUUUAUGAAUCACAAUCGUACUGUAAUAAUAAACUAGUUACAUCUAUAUUUAUAGAUCGUUUUUACUUUAAUUAGCAUAUGUUUCAUUUAUAUUAUGCUAAACUCCUAUGAUAUGUGGAUGAGCCAAUUCACCGAUAUUUUGUUUC